rnacentral:rRNA from 1 species
UACGUAGGGGGCUAGCGUUGUCCGGAUUUAUUGGGCGUAAAGAGCGUGUAGGCGGCCAGGUAGGUCUGCUGUGAAAACUCGAGGCUCAACCUCGAGACGUCGGCGGAAACCAUCUGGCUAGAGUCCGGAAGAGGAGAGUGGAAUUCCUGGUGUAGCGGUGAAAUGCGCAGAUAUCAGGAAGAACACCCAGUGGCGAAGGCGGCUCUCUGGGACGGUACUGACGCUGAGACGCGAAAGCUAGGGGAGCAAACAGG